GGGCAAGAGGUGGUAACACUGAAACGGCAAAUGCAGCAGUCAGUGACAAUGGGUCAACCGGAGUCAACCAGAACCAAAACGUGACCUAUUCUGAUGUCACUCAAUUUAAAAAAAGAGAUGGCCAGACAGUCAAUCCGGCUGGGCAGGGAAAUCCAAGAAAUGUCUCCCAACAUGUGCCCCCCUAUGGAAACAAGCCUCAAGCCCCACCACCACCCAGCCAAGUGACAUACGGAGAGAUGAGGAGACAUUAAGCAGCCUCUUCAAGGUCCAACCACUAUAACAGACCAGGGCUGGACUGGUUAUCUUGAAUGAAGGGCAUUUACCUGGGUCACAAGUCCUCAGAGGCCGUUGUUGUUCCUUUUUUGCCAAGGGACUGGUCUGCAAUUUAGAGGUGGUAGCACAUUGGCCCAUCUUAAAUAUACGGUAAACAGUGGACUGAGCCAAUCAGCAUGUAAUACGAAAGUGGACUGUGC